CCUGGACUCACUGCUCUGUUUAGGCAGAUAUCAAACGUUCAGCAUGAUCUGUCAGUACUGGUGAAGUCCUUUCUCUGAACCAGACAACAGAAGCUGCUCUCCUAGUUCAUGGUUGCUCCUUUCCACUGGCAAAACAACCUCAGGGGAUCUGCUUUCAGUUUUAUCAUUUCACCUGAGCAGAAAUUUGGGAGAGUGGUUUAAUGUCAGCUAGUGUGUUUUAAUGGAGGCCUGGAAGAAGAAGAAAAAACCUUCCUGUGUCCACUUGUUUCUUAGGUACACCGCAAUACCCACAGCCAGCCUCACCACUCCCAGAGAGAGUUUGUAUCUCCUUUUGGCAGCU